UGUCGUAGAGUGGAGAAGAGAAUAAAAAUCAUCGAUACAUGUAUAUGUGUAGUGUAGCCGUGUAUAUAGCCUCCAAAUGGUAGCAAAGAAUGAAUUAAUAUCGCUUAGCGUCGUAAUGGUUGUUGUGAUGAUUUGUAUGUUGGAAAUGAGAGUUAAAUGUCCCGAAUUGAUAUAGUAAGCGUUGCGGACUGAUUUGGAGAACUUUGUGCAUUUAAUGCAAUCCUUAUAUAUGAGAACCAUUAACAUAUGAAUAUGUGUAGUGUGAAUGAAUGUGAGUCAUAGAUUAUGCCGAAUAUCGCAUUAUUAUCGCUUAAGCGCUUUCGUGUCGUCGUUACGAAUUUUAGUUUGGAAUUGAGCAUUUAAUGACUUAAGAUUGAUGUUGAGAUUGUACGGGCUGAUUUGAGGGUUAUUGUGCGUUGAUGUAAUUUGUAUAUUUUAUGAAAAUGGUAUCGUUAUAUUGUGAAUUGUGAUACAAAACAUGAAUUGAAAGUCGGAAGUGUGCCCAGUGGGCUGCUCACGGGUAGGGGCUGUUUUCGGCCAAAAAUUUGGAGAAAUUGUGGAUUGUUGGAAAAAUUAUGUGAAUUGUUUAGAAUGUUCUUGAAUGUUGUUAGUAUGGGUUUGGGUUAAUAAUCGAAUGUACGAACGAUAUUGUGGCUUGAAAGUAAGCCAUUGAAUUGAAUAAUUGGAAAGUUGUCGAAUGGUGUAAAAGAGAGCUACUAUUAUUAUUUUGCCUUUCGAAUUGAUUAUCGAUGUUGCUAGGUUGGUUAUUGUGGUUGUUGUUGUUGAUUUUGAGCGAGUUAAAUUCUCGGGAUGACCUAUUUAUAGGGGAAAUGCUGCCGAAUUUUCUGUAGAAUUUAAUGUUAGUUGGAAUAAAUGGCUUAAGUGCCUAUGUUUAAUAUUGGAUAUUCGUUGGCAUAUUUGUAGACCUUGGGGAGCCCGAGGCGUAGAUUGGAAUUUACUUUAUAUUGGCCAUCUUGGAGUGCGUACGAGGUACAGACGCACAGUUUGGUGAUCUACCCAUUUAGGACACCCUCUUCUGCUGUUUGGAGUGCUCUUCUCAUUUCAGAGCACACAUUUUGGUAUAUAUUCGUUCGCCAUGUAUAUAUGUAUUUGUUCAGGGGCACGGCGGGGCCCUGUCCCGCCAUAUGAUUCGGUUUGUCUGUUUAGAGGUCUGUAGACGUAUUUGUGGGUGUGUUUGCCUACUUCUGUACGGAUGUGUUUUCAUGACUCUAUUCGUUAUGGCAGCCUCGUCGGCGUGCAUUUUGUAUAUGUUUGUGGCAGCCUUGUCGGCGUGCAUUUGUAUAUGCGUUUUGGGCCGUUGUGCCAUUUGACAGCCUUGUCGGCUUUUGACAUAUUUGAUAGCCUUGCCGGCUUUUUGAUAUAUGUGCAUAUGUUCGGCGAUGUAUAUUCCGCCGCCUC